UACAGAGGGUGCGAGCGUUGUCCGGAAUCACUGGGCGUAAAGGGCGCGUAGGUGGCGCCGCAAGUCGGUGGUGAAAGCUCGAUGCUCAACAUCGAGUCGGCCAUCGAAACUGCGGGGCUUGAGCACUGUAGGGGCAGAUGGAAUUCCGGGUGUAGCGGUGGAAUGCGUAGAGAUCCGGAAGAACACCGGUGGCGAAGGCGGUCUGCUGGGCAGUUGCUCGCAAGAGCCAAUAGCCGACACUGAGGCGCGACAGCGUGGGGAGCAAACAGG
rnacentral:rRNA from 1 species